CAAAUUUUACCUCAUAACAGCGUGGAUCUGGGGAAUAUGACAACACUCGCACUGGAAGUCCUAGUCUGGAACCCACGGAAACCACGCCCCUGAAUCCUACGUACACGUCCUUACCAACUCAGGAGGAGGUUGUAAGAAAGACAGAAGUUAUCACAAAGAGGAUACAAGAGUUGCUCAUAUCAGCCCAAGAGGGACGGCAGGACUCCUUUGUUCCCUGCGCCGACCAAAUCCAUUCUGCCGUUCUUGACAUGGAUUCAAUCUUCCCAAAGACUCGGUGCUCUUCUGGGGUGCAGGGAGCACUGCGCCAGCUGGUGAGCAGUGCUGGCCGGCUGCAGAAUGAAUGUCGCGGCCACCUUUCCUCACACUCGCACACUCUUUGACCCAAA